UACGGAGGGAGCUAGCGUUGUUCGGAAUUACUGGGCGUAAAGCGCACGUAGGCGGUUCGUUAUGUCGGAUGUGAAAGCCCUUGGCUUAACCGAGGAAGUGCAUCCGAAACUGGCGAGCUAGAGUACGAAAGAGGAUCGCGGAAUUCCCGGUGUAGAGGUGAAAUUCGUAGAUAUCGGGAGGAACACCGGUGGCGAAGGCGGCGAUCUGGGUCGAUACUGACGCUGAGGUGCGAAAGCGUGGGGAGCAAACAGG
rnacentral:rRNA from 1 species